CGAGCAGAACAUACGGCGGCGCGGAAGGAUGAAGAUCCUCCCGUGAGGAAAGUCCGGGCAUCAUAGGGCAAUGGCAACUGCUAACGGCAGCCGGGGGCGACCCCAGGGACAGUGCAACAGAAAGAAACCGCCGCGGCCCCGCCGCGGCAAGGAUGGAAAGGCGAGGUAAGAGCUCACCAGCGUACUGGCGACUGUACGGCUAUGUAAACCCUGUCAGAUGCAACACCCGUAUGGGGCAAAUGCGCGGCCCGCGCGCCCCGGAGGUGGCUUGAGCUGCAUGGCGACUUGCAGUCGAGAUAGAUCGUCGUUUUAUACAGAACCCGGCUUAUGGUCUGCUCGUUUU
rnacentral:RNase_P_RNA from 1 species